UUCUGCCUUGCCCUUAGAGGUAAAUCCUUUUUUUUUUUUUUCCUUUCUGCACAACUACCUAACAUGUCUCUCAGCCACUGGCACCACCAGUUGAUUUCCUCUUUGCUGCCUUUUGACCCUUUGCUGGUAAUUGCCUGACAGAAUUCCUGUGGCUAGGAGUAUCGAGUGUAAGUGAAGGUAAAAAUAAUGAAGCUGUCUAGUCUUGGGGUAUGAGCGCUAGGAGGAUAAACUUACUGAAUGUUGAGUUUUACUCCAGACAACAUAGGGAACUCUAAAACAACACUUGUUUGAGACACUUGCUGAAGCCAGAUGCCAUUGGAGCAAACUGUGUCUAUGCUUAGUGAAGCUAUAUAAGGUAGUCUAAAGGCCACUGAAACUGGGCUCCACCAUUUGCUAUCUUUGUGACUUUGGACAAGUUUCCUAAACUCUCUGAGCCUCAGUUUCAUCAUCUACAAAAUGAAGAUGAUCUCAAUUUCAGAUAGAUCCAAAGAUCGGAUGAGCACACGUCAUUUGCACUCCUGGACUGGGCUCCUUUCUCUGGGAAGAGGCAAAAUAGGUUCCUGCCUUCCUCCUGCUUCGGCUCUCAUUUUCCUCCUACUCUCCCUUUGGUUUUUCUGUGACCUCUAACCCAGCCUCUCCAGUCUGAUACACUGGACCAAAUAUUAGCUUUGCAGUCACACAGAUUAAGUCUUAAUCUGGCUCUGUCACUGAAACAGUGUGCGAUCUUGGGCACGCUAUGUCAUCGUCUAGAAGAGUUAGUUCCUAUUUCUUCUCUUGCCCUAAACCAAAAGAGGCCCCUCUUACCGCAAAACAAGACCCAAAGCUUGCAUAUUCAUAAAGGUAGUUCAAAAUGACAUAUAAGACACUCAUACAGAGGGGACAGACACCAGGCAAUUUGGGAACAAAAACAGGAAGGACACAUACGUUUUUAAACUUCUAGCUUUUGUUAAAAAAAAAAAUUAAAAAAAAAAAAAAGGGGGGGCGCCUGGGUGGCGCAGUCGGUUAAGCGUCCGACUUCAGCCAGGUCACGAUCUCGCGGUCCGUGAGUUCGAGCCCCGCGUCGGGCUCUGGGCUGACAGCUCAGAGCCUGGAGCCUGUUUCAGAUUCUGUGUCUCCCUCUCUCUGACCCUCCCCCGUUCAUGCUCCGUCUCUCUCUGUCUCAAAAAUAAAUAAACGUUAAAAAAAAAAAAUUAAACUUCU
rnacentral:lncRNA from 1 species